GAUGAACGCUGGCGGCGUACCUAAUACAUGCAAGUCGAGCGAACAGACGAGGAGCUUGCUCCUCUGACGUUAGCGGCGGACGGGUGAGUAACACGUGGAUAACCUACCUAUAAGACUGGGAUAACUUCGGGAAACCGGAGCUAAUACCGGAUAAUAUAUUGAACCGCAUGGUUCAAUAGUGAAAGACGGUUUUGCUGUCACUUAUAGAUGGAUCCGCGCCGCAUUAGCUAGUUGGUAAGGUAACGGCUUACCAAGGCGACGAUGCGUAGCCGACCCGAGAGGGUGAUCGGCCACACUGGAACUGAGACACGGUCCAGACUCCUACGGGAGGCAGCAGUAGGGAAUCUUCCGCAAUGGGCGAAAGCCUGACGGAGCAACGCCGCGUGAGUGAUGAAGGUCUUCGGAUCGUAAAACUCUGUUAUUAGGGAAGAACAAAUGUGUAAGUAACUAUGCACGUCUUGACGGUACCUAAUCAGAAAGCCACGGCUAACUACGUG
rnacentral:rRNA from 1 species